AUUGAACGCUGGCGGCAGGCCUAACACAUGCAAGUCGGGCGAGUGGCGGACGGGUGAGUAAUGUCUGGGGAACUGCCUGAUGGAGGGGGAUAACUACUGGAAACGGUAGCUAAUACCGCAUACCAUCGGAUGUACCCAUAUGGGAUUAGCUAGUAGGUGAGGUAACGGCUCACCUAGGCGACGAUCCCUAACUGGUCUGAGAGGAUGACCAGCCACACUGGAACGGAGACACGGCCCAGACUCCUACGGGAGGCAGCAGUGGGGAAUAUUGCACAAUGGGCGCAAGCCUGAUGCAGCCAUGCCGCGUGUAUGAAGAAGGCCUUCGGGUUGUAAAGUACUUUCAGUGGGGAGGCGUUACCCACAGAAGAAGCACCGGCUAACUCCGUGCCAGCAGCCGCGGUAAUAC
rnacentral:rRNA from 1 species